GUCCUUGUGGAGCACAGUAGCUCGCUCCCGUUCAUUACAGUGUCUCAUGCUAAGGUAUCUGGGAGAGUCGGUGGUUCGAACCCACCCAAGGACG